rnacentral:rRNA from 1 species
GACGAACGCUGGCGGCGUGCCUAAUACAUGCAAGUAGAACGCUGAAGAGAGGAGCUUGCUCUUCUUGGAUGAGUUGCGAACGGGCGAGUAACGCGUAGGUAACCUGCCUUGUAGCGGGGGAUAACUAUUGGAAACGAUAGCUAAUACCGCAUAACAAUGGAUGACACAUGUCAUUUAUUUGAAAGGGGCAAUUGUUCCACUACAAGAUGGACCUGCGUUGUAUUAGCUAGUAGGUGAGGUAAUGGCUCACCUAGGCGACGAUACAUAGCCGACCUGAGAGGGUGAUCGGCCACACUGGGACUGAGACACGGCCCAGACUCCUACGGGAGGCAGCAGUAGGGAAUCUUCGGCAAUGGGGGCAACCCUGACCGAGCAACGCCGCGUGAGUGAGGAAGGUUUUCGGAUCGUAAAGCUCUGUUGUAAGUCAAGAACGGGUGUGAGAGUGGAAAGUUCACACUGUGACGGUAGCUUACCAGAAAGGGACGGCUAACUACGUG